AGAGUUUGAUCCUGUGCUCAGGACGAACGCCGGCGGCGUGCCUAAUACAUGCAAGUCGAGCGAGCGGAACCAACAGAUUUACUUCGGUAAUGACGUUGGGAAAGCGAGCGGCGGAUGGGUGAGUAACACGUGGGGAACCUGCCCCUAAGUCUGGGAUACCAUUUGGAAACAGGUGCUAAUACCGGAUAAUAAAGCAGAUCGCAUGAUCAGCUUUUGAAAGGCGGCGUAAGCUGUCGCUAAGGGAUGGCCCCGCGGUGCAUUAGCUAGUUGGUAAGGUAACGGCUUACCAAGGCGACGAUGCAUAGCCGAGUUGAGAGACUGAUCGGCCACAUUGGGACUGAGACACGGCCCAAACUCCUACGGGAGGCAGCAGUAGGGAAUCUUCCACAAUGGACGCAAGUCUGAUGGAGCAACGCCGCGUGAGUGAAGAAGGUUUUCGGAUCGUAAAGCUCUGUUGUUGGUGAAGAAGGAUAGAGGUAGUAACUGGCCUUUAUUUGACGGUAAUCAACCAGAAAGUCACGGCUAACUACGUGCCAGCAGCCGCGGUAAUACGUAGGUGGCAAGCGUUGUCCGGAUUUAUUGGGCGUAAAGCGAGCGCAGGCGGAAAAAUAAGUCUAAUGUGAAAGCCCUCGGCUUUAACCGAGGAACUGCAUCGGAAAACUGUUUUUUCUUGAGUGCA
rnacentral:rRNA from 1 species